AUUGAACGCUGGCGGCAGGCCUAACACAUGCAAGUCGAACGAGUGGCGGACGGGUGUGAAAUGUCUGGAACACUCCCAUAUGGAGGGGGAUAACUCGUGGAAACGGUCGCUAACCCCGCAUACCUUUGUAUGUGCCCAGAUUGGAUUCGCUAGUAGGUGGGGUAAAGGCUCACAUAGGCGACGAUCCCUAGCUGGUCUGAGAGGAGGACCAGCCACACUGGAACUGAGACACGGUCCAGACUCCUACGGGAGGCAGCAGUGGGGAAUAUUGCACAAUGGGCGCAAGCCUGAUGCAGCCAUGCCGCGUGUGUGAAGAAGGCCUUCGGGUUGUAAAGCACUUUCAGCGGGGAGGCGUUACCCGCAGAAGAAGCACCGGCUAACUCCGUGCCAGCAGCCGCGGUAAUUC
rnacentral:rRNA from 1 species